rnacentral:rRNA from 1 species
UUUCAGUAAAAGGGUAAUACCUCAGAGAGAAACCCUUAUUCUUUGGCGGCCUUUAUUCUACUCAAAGGAACUUGUUAUAUAAUCGAAAUUACCCGCUAAAUCUUACUUUUUUCAUAGCUUUUAUACCGUCGUUUUAUAGAGCCAAUUUGAAUUUUUUUCUCGAAAAAGGAACAUUCACCCAAGUCAGAUCAAGGUGAAGCCAAUAAAAAAGAACAAAUGAGUUAUUCAUAAAAAAAAUUUAGAGAUUUCAAAUCAAAAUGCAAAUAAAUCAAGAUUUGAAAGUACUUUUAGAUCAAAAUUCUAAUAGAAAUAAGUUAAUAAAGGUGU